CCUUGAGUACACCCUCACAGCGCUGCUCGUGGGGCAAGCAUGCCUGGGAGAUGACCUGGGGCACCACGCCCUGCCUAUCUCAGACAAGGAACUCCAGGCAGCAGUGGCGAAGCUAAGCAGCUCCAUCCUUAAGGGGCGGAGGCCGGCUCAUAUUUGCCUAUUAGGGCCGUGGGACGCCGAGGUUCUGCUGGGUCCCUCCUGGAAAUAGAUCCUUCCCAGCCAGCACCCGAAGUCAGCAGCAGAGGGCAAAGCACCUGGGCUUUAUUUAGCUCCAAGCUCCACGAUCCUCCUAACUUAUUAAUGGUAAGGCAGGCUUCGGAAAUGAGAAUCAUGCAAAUAAUGAUUUCAUUUUUUACCCGUGUUUUUAAGGGACUGAGAUAUCUUUGUCAUUUACCUGGGAUUUACAGGGACCAAAAAGCUGGACAUCAUUCACCACUGGGAACAGCAUAUUGUUCCUGGAAGAGGCAAAAGCCUAGGGCUUCAAGAUGCCGGGGCUUUAAGAAACCAAGGCAUGACCUCAAGUGAUUUGCCGGAGGUGGCCUCGGUGGCAGCAGUCAUUGAAGAAAGGAAGACAGCUGCCCAGCCAGUCUGACAGACCAUACACAGACAGCCCUGUUCACAGGGAGGCGUGGGCAAAGAUUUCAUGACGAAACAUCAAAAGCAAUUGCAACAAAAGCAAAAAUUGACAAAUAUGAUUUAAUUAAACAAAAGAGCUUCUGCACAGCAAAAGAAACCAUCAUCAGAGUGAACAGACACAACCUAUAGAACGGGAGAACACUUUUGCAAUCUAUCCAUCUGACAAAGGUCUAAUAUCCAGAGUCUACAAGGAACUUAAACAAAUUUACAAGAAAAAAACAAACUACCCCAUUAAACAGUGGGCAAAAAACAUGAACAGACACUUCUCAAAAGAAGACAUUUAUGCAUCCAAAAAGGGUGCAUCUGAGAUCAAUGGCCAAAGAAAAUGGGCUCUGAACAGUGCUUCACUGUCACAUCCAGGAUCUGGAAAGUUGUAUUUGAGUGCUGGGUUUGAUAUACGUUAACUAGAAGAUAAAACAUGCCGACUAUGGCUAGCAGACACAGUGCCCCAUCAUGCCUGAACAAAAAGAUAUUUUAUACCAGAAGUGCGGAACAGGAUUUUUUGCAGUUUUGCUAGAAUCCUUGUCACAGUGCUUAAUAAUGUUACAUCAUUUAGAUAAUAAUUUUUCUAGUUUUCAGUUUACCUAAUAGUACGUGUUCAAUUAUUUUAUGGAGCUUUUUCAAUCAGAACAACAUCGUACCUGUCUUUUCAGUGUAUUAUUCCCAAAUAAAAGUUUAACCUCUUUUCGGA
rnacentral:lncRNA from 10 species